GAUGAACGCUGGCGGCGUACCUAAUACAUGCAAGUCGAGCGAACAGACGAGGAGCUUGCUCCUCUGACGUUAGCGGCGGACGGGUGAGUAACACGUGGAUAACCUACCUAUAAGACUGGGAUAACUUCGGGAAACCGGAGCUAAUACCGGAUAAUAUAUUGAACCGCAUGGUUCAAUAGUGAAAGACGGUUUUGCUGUCACUUAUCGAUGGAUCCGCGCCGCAUUAGCUAGUUGGUAAGGUAACGGCUUACCAAGGCGACGAUGCGUAGCCGACCUGAGAGGGUGAUCGGCCACACUGGAACUGAGACACGGUCCAGACUCCUACGGGAGGCAGCAGUAGGGAAUCUUCCGCAAUGGGCGAAAGCCUGACGGAGCAACGCCGCGUGAGUGAUGAAGGUCUUCGGAUCGUAAAACUCUGUUAUUAGGGAAGAACAAAUGUGUAAGUAACUAUGCACGUCUUGACGGUACCUAAUCAGAAAGCCACGGCUAACUACGUG
rnacentral:rRNA from 1 species